GGCUUCGUGGCCGAACGGUAAGGACACUUGCCUCUCACCCCGAAGGUCUGGGUUCGAUCCCCGACCGAGAAGCUA